rfam:Halomonas sp. BC04 BC04_c90, whole genome shotgun sequence.
GGCUACGUAGCUCAGCUGGUUAGAGCACAUCACUCAUAAUGAUGGGGUCCCCUGUUCGAAUCAGGCGUAGCAC